GCGAGAGUGGCGGAACUGGCAGACGCGCUGGUCUUAGAAGCCAGUGGGCAACCGUGGGGGUUCAAGUCCCCCCUCUCGCACCA
rnacentral:tRNA from 1 species